rnacentral:rRNA from 2 species
UGCAGUCGAGCGAUGGAUUGAGAGCUUGCUCUUAUGAAGUUAGCGGCGGACGGGUGAGUAACACGUGGGUAACCUGCCCAUAAGACUGGGAUAACUCCGGGAAACCGGGGCUAAUACCGGAUAACAUUUUGAACUGCAUGGUUCGAAAUUGAAAGGCGGCUUCGGCUGUCACUUAUGGAUGGACCCGCGUCGCAUUAGCUAGUUGGUGAGGUAACGGCUCACCAAGGCAACGAUGCGUAGCCGACCUGAGAGGGUGAUCGGCCACACUGGGACUGAGACACGGCCCAGACUCCUACGGGAGGCAGCAGUAGGGAAUCUUCCGCAAUGGACGAAAGUCUGACGGAGCAACGCCGCGUGAGUGAUGAAGGCUUUCGGGUCGUAAAACUCUGUUGUUAGGGAAGAACAAGUGCUAGUUGAAUAAGCUGGCACCUUGACGGUACCUAACCAGAAAGCCACGGCUAACUACGUGCCAGCAGCCGCGGUAAUACGUAGGUGGCAAGCGUUAUCCGGAAUUAUUGGGCGUAAAGCGCGCGCAGGUGGUUUCUUAAGUCUGAUGUGAAAGCCCACGGCUCAACCGUGGAGGGUCAUUGGAAACUGGGAGACUUGAGUGCAGAAGAGGAAAGUGGAAUUCCAUGUGUAGCGGUGAAAUGCGUAGAGAUAUGGAGGAACACCAGUGGCGAAGGCGACUUUCUGGUCUGUAACUGACACUGAGGCGCGA